rnacentral:rRNA from 1 species
CCUACGGGUGGCAGCAGUCGAGAAUCAUUCACAAUGGGGGAAACCCUGAUGGUGCGACGCCGCGUGGGGGAAUGAAGGUCUUCGGAUUGUAAACCCCUGUCAUGUGGGAGCAAAUUAAAAAGAUAGUACCCCAAGAGGAAGAGACGGCUAACUCGGUGCCAGCAGCCGCGGUAAUACAGAUGUCUCAAGCGUUGGUCGGAAUCACUGGGCGUAAGGCGUGCUGAGGCUGUGUCGUAAGUCGUGUGUGAAAGGCGCGGGCUCAACCCGCGGACGGCACAAGAUACUGCGAGACUAGAGUAAUGGAGGGGGAACCGGAAUUCUCGGUGUAGCAGUUAAAUGCGUAGAUAUCGAGAGGAACACUCGUGGCGAAGGCGGGUUCCUGGACAUUAACUGACGCUGAGGCACGAAGGCCAGGGGAGCGAAAGGGAUUAGAUACCCGGGUAGUC